UUUUUUUUUUUUUUGUCUUUUUAGGGCUGAACCUGUGGCAUAUGGAGUUUCCCAAACUAGAGGUCCAAUCAGAAUUGCAGCCACCAGCCUAUGCCACAGCAACUUGGGAUCCAAGCCGAGUUGAGUCUGAGACCCACACCACAGCUCACAGCAACACCAGAUCCUCAAUCCACUGAGCAAGGCCAGGGAUUGAACCCGCAUCCUCAUGGAUACUAGUCGGGUUCAUUAACCGCUGAGCCAAGACAGAACUCUUUUCUGAAUGCCCACUGUUUAUACUCAAAUUUCUUUCAUUGCUUGCCUUCCUUCCUUCUUUCCUGCAUUUCCAUCCUACAUUCCUUUCUUGUCAUGCUAUCUCUCUGCCUCCUCUCUCUUUCCCCCACCAACCUCUUUCUUUUCUCAUUACUGUCAUGGUCAUGUGGCACUCCCUUUUUGCAUGGUUACUUAUGGAAUUGGCAUCUAGAUAGGAAUUAACUAAGGCAAUCAUUGUCUUUCCCAAGGCAAUGAAACUUCCUCAUUCACCAAUGUUAGCAAUGUCUAUACUCUUAGUACACCCUUCUGCUGGUGGGUGAAUUUUUUAAAUCUAUAAUUAGGAAAAAACCUUACUGAACUAAGAUUUAAGUUGAUAUUUUUCCACUUUAAUAAUCCGUCCCCCCAGGGGCGGGGGGAGUAUACAUGUAAGAGUAACUUGAUCCCCAUGCUGUAUAGCAGGAAAAAAUAAAAAUCUGUCACCUAUUUAAGAUGUGUCUAGUGCAUUUGGAAGCAUCACAAUGAGUCUACAGCCAUAUCACCCUGAAUGCACAUGAUUUCAUCACUUCUGGAAGGAUCACAAUGAGCUACUUUUACUAUUAUUAUUAUUCCAAUACUUAACCAUCAUAAAGAGCUACUAUUUAUCAGAAUGUCUUCCCCAGAAAUGAAAGCAUUUUAUAAGUACUUGCUGAUAUUUGCAAUAGGCUAUCAAUGCAAGCACAUCCAUAUAUAGCAUAAAUAUUACUACUAAUUACACCUUUUAAAUAUUCAUUAAUAAGAUACACUCUGGUUUAUAUUUUUCUCUCAACAAUCAGAAUAAUUUAUAUUUAUUUCAUGCUCUUCUGUGCCAGAUGCUAUUCUGAGUACUUUGCAUACAGUUAUUCAUUUAACUUUCAAAACAAUGUUAUGGAUUGGGUACUUUUUUUUUUUUUUUUUUUUUGUACUCGCUUUUAACAGAAGUAGAAAACUAAGGCUUGCGAUGUUUAAGGAACUUUUCCAAACAUAGUAGGUAAACUGUAUUUAAAACCAAUGCAUGAGUACCAUCUACUCCACCAAGAAUAUAUACAAAUGCAUAUUUCUUAUACUAAAAAAGUAAGUUACAUAUGAAUAUUGAUUCUAUUUCAAGCUCAGUCCCCAGUAGAAAGUACAGGGCCAAUAAGUGGGAUUUAGACCAUGUUGAAAGAUUGCCUUGCAUGGAAAACAAAUCAAUUUCUGCGAGUAUUUUAGUUUAGCUUAACUUGAAAGAAGGCUGGUGAAAGAGACACAGUAACCAAGAUGAAAAAUAAGUAGUGUUACUUCCAGAUCACUUCCUCUAAGGGGUGGUUCAGAGUCCUGCUAGGGACAUUCAAGUCAGGCUUUGAUAAGUUCAUAAACAACACUUUGGUGGCAAAAUUGUCAACGGACUAGGUACAGAUUGAUGGGAAGGAAUGUCUCUAGGACUCUAAUGGGCAGGUAAAAGAACAAAAGGGGUCACUCUUAUUGCUGUGAAAUAGGAAGAGAAAAAUACAACAUAGAUUCUUAACAGAAUAAAGCUUUAUAUAAUCUAAGAAUAUACCACAAACCCAAUAUUAUUUCAUUCAUUUCUGUUGAAAAACUUACUUGAGACAUUCCAGUAAAUAUUGCUAUAGAGAAUGCCACCAAAUAGCAGGCCACACAAAACAAACAUUUGAACAACUAUUCAAUAAAUAUCAUACCUGACUGUUUUAAAUCAUAAAAAUAACACUUUCUUGAGGUUAAAAAAAUCUAGUAUUACAGAAGUAUGUAAAGCAUAAAACAAGAUGGCCUCUUUCCUUUCUUAGUCAUUCAUUUUCCCUGAUAUAAUUACUAACGUGUGUGUUUUCAAGACAUUUUCACUGCAUGAACAUUAUGCGGACUUGUUUUUGUAAAACAAAUGGACUAAAAUUAUAUUUCUGUAUAUACAUAUGUGUGCUAAAAAUGAUUAAUACAGAUUUAUUUUUUCCUGUGAGAAAAGAGAUCCUACCAUAUAUAUUACACUAGAUUUUGAUUUAUUUAACUUUUUCCCCAAAAUACGUUAUGGAAAACCUCCCAAGUCAGUACCACUACAGUUUUUUUUAAGUUAGUUACCUAAUGUUCCAUAGCAUGGUGUCUCGUAAGUCAUUUAACUAUUCCAUUAUGUUUUGUCUCUUUCUCAAGGAGGUUUUCGCACAUCCACACACACACACACGAGUGCACACACACACACACACACACGCAUGUACACACACACACACACACACACACACACAUAUAUGGUAUUUAAGGGCCUAGGUUCCAACUCAUUACCACUUCUGUUUAAUUUUCCUAGAAAUUCAAGCUAUGUCUAGUGUGUUUAUUCAUGGCAAGGCUGUAUAUUUUUUCUCUAUUAUCUGGAAGAAAUAAGAUACUGAGGACCUGGAAAAAAUACAUUAUCCAAUUCUCAUACAUUUCACACUGUAUAUUUUGGGGGGUAAGAAAGUAGAGCUGAAGCCAAAUGACUGAAUUUAAAAUACCCUGUAGACCCUAGUUAAGUAUGUAAAAGUUUAAUAAACUCAAAUUUCCAGUUACUCUGGCCAAAAGUUUAUGUUCAAGAAAUAUUAACUGACCAUCUUUAAAGUAAAUCCUAAAUGCUGGGAUGGGUGGUUAGGCAAAGCAUUCCUCUGAGGAUUCUAAGGAAAACUCGCUGCAGGAAACAGUGCGAGUGGGGUCAUCGAUGCAACAGCAGAUAUAUUUUCAUCUCUUUUCGCUUAUCCCCCUUGGCACUAAAGAGACCCCUGUGUACAGAGAAAUUCUGCAGCUGGGCAGAAGAGACAAGCAUCUGGCUGAGAAAUAACAUCAUAACUCAGAGCAACUUUUGGCUUUCCACAUUGAUCUUAUCAAAUUUCAACUUUUUCUUCUGGAAAAUUGAUUCACUAAGAGAAGAAAAAAAUUGCAAAAAAAUACUUCUGGUGCAACAACUAUAGCUCUUAGGCUUCAGAUAUUUUCUAGGGGGAAAACGCAUUCACCAUCAAAAAGGGAUGCACAUGAGCUGGCAUGGGAAUCCUUCUCAGGCUCAUUAGAAACCAGGAUAACCUCUCCUUUCCCUCACCAUCAAAAUUAUCAAAAUAUCUGGGCUAUGCCUUUAAAACUCAUAUAUUUAAUGAAAAAUAGAAAAGUAGUUAUUCAGUUGAUAUGGACACAGGCUAACUGAGAAUCUGGUAAUAGUAUUCAGCAAAAAUAAAAUAAGUCUCUGGAACACCAAAGAAUUAAUAUCUUUAUGAGUAAAUGGAGAUGGGAGGAAAUGUCCACAUGAUCAGGGAUAGAGAUAUUAUGCAGGAGGCAGAGCAAAUACUUUACAGAGUUUCCAACCAAGGUAAAGAAAAAUUAUGACCAGGUCAGAAUUAGGUUUUCUAUUUAUAGCUGUGAUCAAAAACAAACAAAAAUCGGAGUUCCCAUCGUAGCUCAGUGGUUAACAAAUCUGACUAGGAAACAUGAGGUUGUGGGUUCAAUCCCUGGCAUUGCUCAGUGGGUUAAGGAUCCGACGUUGCUGUGAGCUGUGGUGUAGGUUGCAGGCGCGGCUCAGAUCCCACGUUGCUGUGUCUCUGGCAUAGGCCGGUGGCUACAUCUCCGAUUAGACCCCUAGCCUGGGAACCUCCAUAUGCCAUAUAGCCCUAGAAAAAGGUGAAAAGACAAAAAAAAAAAAAAAAAAAAAAAAAA
ensembl:lncRNA